rnacentral:rRNA from 1 species
UACGGGGGGGGCAAGCGUUGUUCGGAAUUACUGGGCGUAAAGGGCUCAUAGGCGGCCAACUAAGUCAGACGUGAAAUCCCUCGGCUUAACCGGGGAACUGCAUCUGAUACUGGAUGGCUUGAGUUCGGGAGAGGGAUGCGGAAUUCCAGGUGUAGCGGUGAAAUGCGUAGAUAUCUGGAGGAACACCGGUGGCGAAGGCGGCAUCCUGGACCGACACUGACGCUGAGGAGCGAAAGCCAGGGGAGCAAACGGG